rnacentral:tRNA from 1 species
UUCCCGGUGGCUUAGACAGUAAAGAAUCUGCCUGCCAAGCAGGAGACCCUGGUUUGAUCCCUGGAUAGGAAA